CGCUGGUACUUCGUCUCGCCGCUGAACUGAUCGCCGCUCUCAGCCGCCGCCGCUGCCGCUGCCACCGUCAUCGGAGAAAUUAUUUUGUUAUGGGAUCACAAUUCCCAACGAUGAUGAUGCAAUGAUGGGGAUCGGAAAUGCCUUCUUCUCACUCCUAUGUGUUGUUGGGGCGUGUGAGUGAAGGGUUUGUGGGGCUAGCGAGGGGCAACAGGGAGGCGUGAUGAAGCGAAAAGUGGG
rnacentral:misc_RNA from 1 species